UACGAAGGGGGCUAGCGUUGUUCGGAAUUACUGGGCGUAAAGCGUGCGCAGGCGGCUUCUCAAGUCAGGGGUGAAAGCCCAGAGCUCAACUCUGGAAUUGCCUUUGAGACUGAGUGGCUUGAGUACGAGAGAGGUGAGUGGAAUUCCCAGUGUAGAGGUGAAAUGCGUAGAUAUCAGGAGGAAUACCGAUGGCGAAGGCAGGUCUCUGGGCUGACACUGACGCUCAUGCACGAAAGCGUGGGGAGCAAACAGG
rnacentral:rRNA from 1 species